rnacentral:SRP_RNA from 1 species
UCUCUGGGCGAGGAAGGAGAGUUGAACUGGGACAGGACCGAAAUGGA